UAGCACAUUUCCAAAUGUUCCCAAAGG
rnacentral:piRNA from 1 species